rnacentral:rRNA from 1 species
ACGGGUGAGUAACACGUGGGAACGUGCCUUUUGGUUCGGAAUAACUCAGGGAAACUUGUGCUAAUACCGAAUGUGCCCUUCGGGGGAAAGAUUUAUCGCCAUUAGAGCGGCCCGCGUCUGAUUAGCUAGUUGGUGAGGUAAAGGCUCACCAAGGCGACGAUCAGUAGCUGGUCUGAGAGGAUGAUCAGCCACAUUGGGACUGAGACACGGCCCAAACUCCUACGGGAGGCAGCAGUGGGGAAUCUUGCGCAAUGGGCGAAAGCCUGACGCAGCCAUGCCGCGUGAAUGAUGAAGGUCUUAGGAUUGUAAAAUUCUUUCACCGGGGACGAUAAUGACGGUACCCGGAGAAGAAGCCCCGGCUAACUUCGUGCCAGCAGCCGCGGUAAUACGAAGGGGGCUAGCGUUGCUCGGAAUUACUGGGCGUAAAGGGAGCGUAGGCGGACAUUUAAGUCAGGGGUGAAAUCCCGGGGCUCAACCUCGGAAUUGCCUUUGAUACUGGGUGUCUUGAGUAUGAGAGAGGUAUGUGGAACUCCGAGUGUAGAGGUGAAAUUCGUAGAUAUUCGGAAGAACACCAGUGGCGAAGGCGACAUACUGGCUCAUUACUGACGCUGAGGCUCGAAAGCGUGGGGAGCAAACAGGAUUAGAUACCCUGGUAGUCCACGCCGUAAACGAUGAUUGCUAGUUGUCGGGAUGCAUGCAUUUCGGUGACGCAGCUAACGCAUUAAGCAAUCCGCCUGGGGAGUACGGUCGCAA